UUCGAGACAAGAGUCACAUCCUGACAGCUCUUGUCCUGGUGUGCUAGAGUCCUUGGGGAAAAUCUGCUGCUCUCAGUUCACUGGUGAGGGCGAUCAUUGCCCCCAGGAGUGCCCAGACCAGAUACAUGC
ensembl:snoRNA